CUCGGCGUCGCUGUCCCUCGGACUGGGCCGCAGCGACAGGUGGGAGGCCAGGUCGUAGCGCUGCAUGUUGGACAGCAGAACGCGGUUCUCGUAUUGGAGCUGCAUCACCUGAACAGAAGAGAGUCAAAGAUGACGUUUUUCGACACAUCGAAUCUGAUUUUUGGGACUCGUCCGAGAUCCGAAGAAAUCCCAGAGCCAACACUGAAGACCAUUUCGAGCAGAGUUGGUGAGGUCAUUGAUCUGAAGCCUGGCCGCCUUCAGUUCCUCCUGCAGGGCCUCGGCCUUCGCGCCGUCCAUCCCGCCUACCCCCGAGAGUCCCCCGUGCCGGGCCCCGCCCUCGUUCCUCCUCAGAAGCUCCGCCUCGUCCUCCACCAGCUGCAGCUGCUGCCUGAGCUCCGUCAGGUCGUCCCCGAGCCCUCGCCCCAAACCAGGACCCCCCGCUGAGCCGACCCCGGAGCCGCCCUCCCCUUCGCCCUCACCGCGCAGGUCGUCCAGCUCAGCUCGAAGGCCUCGGUUCUCCACCUGGACAAGACGACGAGGAGAGACGGCGGCUCUGACAUGCUAACCGAUGUUGGCCUCCUCCUCCACAAGGCGGAGGCGCAGCUUGAGCUCCGACUCGCGGGUGGAGGGCGGACCCCCGGCCUCGCCCUUGGGAUGGCUGCUGUCCAAUUCACCGUAGAAG